rnacentral:tRNA from 1 species
GGGUCGCUGGCAGAGUGGUUGAUGCAAUCGGCUUUUAACCGAUUUUAGGUAGGUUCGAUUCCUACGCGACCCU